rnacentral:lncRNA from 1 species
GGUCUCAUGCACAUCCUAAUUCAAUCAAUCAUAAUGAUGUAUUAUUAUAGUUGUAUCUUAACAAUCAUAACAACUAAUCAUAGCAUCUAAUCAUAUCUCUAAGAUAUGAAAUCAUAAUCAUAUAAUAUGAUUAUAACUACUCAUCUCAAGCAUAUCAUAAAUGCAUGAAGUUCUAAUAAUAUGCAUGAACAUAAAAUACUCUUUUCAUGGUUCUUCUUCUUGGGACAUCAUAGUGGCGCCCCUACAUGCCAUAAGAGUAUCCCAU